UAAACCAUUGGUUACCACUGUUAGUGUCUGAGUCAUGGAUAAUGAGUAGUAUGUGUCUGGAAUGCUGAGUCCAA
rnacentral:snoRNA from 1 species